CAUUGGCUUCUGCUAAUUUGGUCCAUGGCCAGGAUUUCUGUAGUUCUUAUUGUGGGAUUGCUGAACUCUGCUCCAGGCUUUGAGCACAAGGCAGUGUCCAAGGCAGAGGAGGGUCCCUCCCCUCAGAGUGUUCCAGUCCUGCUCUGGUGGAAAUGCACCAGCCCUCAGCCUGGGUCUUAGCCUCUGUUCUCGCUGUCACUCACUGUUGGAUUUAGCAGUGGGAUCACAGAGUUCUGACCUUAACCUGUUCUUCUACUUGUUUACACCUUUGGCUAUUUCCUGGUCUCUGCUCUCUUCUGUCUGCUUCUUUCAUUUUCCAGGGUUGGCACUUGGCUCCUGCUGUAUGCCUGGCACAUUUGGGUCAACUGAUGCCGACUGUUCCAUUUAUCCAGCACCCGUGGUGGAUCCAUCCACAGUUUGUGAUUCUAUUUUCUGACCUGGUCUCUUAACAUCCAGCUUUGUCUCCUGAGUAUAACUUCACAUUUGUUCUUAGAUCUAACCACUGCCCUUGAUCUCCUGGCUCUGAUCCCAAAUCAGAAAGACGUUAGUGAUUUGCAGUUAUCCACCUGCCCCACCAACCUGGAUCUAGGACAGUGGAGGCACCUGGAGCAGGUUAAAGAAAGCUGUAGCAAAUUGGACAAGAUUUUGUUAUUGCAACCUUCAGAUGAAUACCAGCCACACCAGCUGACAGUUUAAUUGCCACGGUGCUUCCAAAGGAGGAAACAGUUGGCUGGCUUCUUUCUAAUACAUUGCAACUUGGGCCAGAACUCAUGGUGUGGAUGAACCUGAAUGGAUCGCUCUGUUUACUCCCCUAGAGUGUUUUGGAGCAAACGAGUGGGGAUGUGGGGGAAGAAGAGAGAAAGAAACUGACUUCUACUGAGUGCCUCUAAGAACCAGGCACUGGAUUGGAGGAAGCAAACUGCCAUGUUGCGGGCAACGCUAUGGAAACAGUCAUGUGGUGUGGUGAGGAACUGAGACCCUCAGCUCAACAACUGGAAGAGCGGAAGCUUGCCAACUUCCCCACGAGAAAGCUCUCAAGUGGAUCCGUCAGCUCCAGCCGACAGCUUCACUGCAGGUUUACGGGAGACCCUGAGCCAGAACCACUCAG